UACGAGGGGGGGCGAGCGUUGUUCGGAAUUAUUGGGCGUAAAGGGUGCGUAGGCGGUUUGGUAAGUCUCUUGUGAAAUCUAUGGGCUCAACUCAUAGUCUGCAAGGGAAACUGCCGGGCUUGAGUGUGGGAGAGGUGAGUGGAAUUUCCGGUGUAGCGGUGAAAUGCGUAGAUAUCAGGAGGAACACCUGUGGCGAAAAGCGGCUCACUGGACCACAACUGACGCUGAGGCGCGAAAGCUAGGGGAGCAAACAGG
rnacentral:rRNA from 1 species